rnacentral:rRNA from 1 species
GGAUGCGAUCAUACCAGCACUAAAGCAUCGGAUCCCAUCAGAACUCCGAAGUUAAGCGUGCUUGGGCGAGAGUAGUAUUAGGAUGGGUGACCUACUAGGAAGUCCUCGUGUUGCAUUCC